CUAGCCAGAACCCACCAAGCAAAUAGCAUUUUACGCUUGAACCCCCGAAACUAGGCGAGCUACUCCAAGACAGCCUAUUAAAGGGCACACCCGUCUCUGUGGCAAAAGAGUGGGAAGAGCUUUGAGUAGAGGCGAAAAACCUACCGAGCCAAGUUAUAGCUGGUUGCCUAAGAAUUGAAUAGAAGUUCAACCUUUUAGCUUUUUAUCUCCAGACUUUGACCACCUAGGUCCCCACCCAGGAUAAAAGAACGCCAAAAGAGCUAUUCGAGGGGGGAACAGCCCUCUCGAACAAAGACACAACUUUAAUGAAGGCUAAAGAUCAAAUACAUUAAGGAGCCAUGCCUGGGUGGGCUUAAAAGCAGCCAGCCCCUCAAAAAAGCGUUACAGCUCAAGCAUGACAAGCCAAUAAUUAAGAUAAUAACAUCUAAGGCCCCUUCAUUUAUUAGGCCCUCCCAUGCAACCAUGGGAGAGAGACUGCUAGUAUGAGUAAUAAGAGAAUUAAGACUCUCUCCCCGCAGAUGUGUAUAUCAGAACGAACCCCCACCGAAAAUUAACGCCCCAUAAAAUUGAAGGUAUUGAAUAAAAAUAAAACCAGAAAACCCCUCAACCAAUAGCGUUACCCCUACACAGGACUGCCCCAGGAAAAACAAAAGGAUUAAGAAGGAACUCGGCAAACACCUGCCUCGCCUGUUUACCAAAAACACCGCCUCUUGCUUAUUUUAACAUAAGAGGUCUCGCCUGCCCUGUGAAAUUUUUUUUAACGGCCGCGGUAUUUUGACCGUGCAAAGGUAGCGUAAUCACUUGUCUUUUAAAUGAAGACCCGUAUGAAUGGCACGACGAGGGCUAAGCUGUCUCCUUUAUCCAGUUAAUGAAAUUGAUCUGCCCGUGCAGAAGCGGGCAUAAACACAUAAGACGAGAAGACCCUAUGGAGCUUCAGGCACCACAGCAGCCCGCGUUUAAACCCCUAAAUUAGUAGGACCAAACUGAAGCGCCACCUGUUAUUAUGCCUUUGGUUGGGGCGACCACGGAGAAACAAACAACCUCCGAGAGGAACUGGGACCCUUCCCCGAGACAAGGCCGACAAGCCAAACCCCCAGAAAAUCUGACCAAUAUGAUCCGGCAAAGCCGAUCAACGAACCAAGUUACCCUAGGGAUAACAGCGCAAUCUCCUUUUAGAGCCCCCAUCGACAAGAAGGUUUACGACCUCGAUGUUGGAUCAGGACCUCCUAAUGGUGCAGCCGCUAUUAAGGGUUC
rnacentral:rRNA from 1 species